AUUCUACUCCCUCCGUUCGGAAUUACUUGUCUCAGAAAUGGAUGUAUCUAGAACUAAAAUACAUCUAGAUACAUUCAUUUCUACGACAAGUAAUUCCGAACGGAGGGAGUACCAG
rnacentral:pre_miRNA from 1 species